UCUGUCAUUUAGAAAACGUACAAGGAGAUAGAAAGAAGAGGAAAGGAAUUUGUAGCUCAUUUUUUAAUGAAGAUGAAAAUCAAUUUCACUUUUCAUUUUAGGGUUGAUGUAAGUAUCAUUCCCAGAAUCCCCCAGAUCGCUCAAAUGAAAGCGUAGAUCCUUAGAGUCACGACCAUAAGCAUCAAUAAGAUUCUCAAAGUUUAAAAGAUGUGCUCCGAUGUGAAUGGCUGAAAUUUAUGAAAACAGACAAAUAAAAGCUUAUACAGGAAGAACAACUUACUGGUGAAGAAACAAAUCACGUAGGCAAUGACUCGAUGAAAUGUGAUAUUUUUAUCGAGCAAUCGUUGUAAAUUGUGACCCAUUCCACAACACUAAAGUUGAAAUAUCACAAAAAAAUUAUGUCAUAAAAAUGUCUUCAAUUCUAUGGUUAGGUUAUCAUUGACAACUUUACUUCCUAUGGAUGCUCUGAACUUUGUAUAGUUACAGGAGUAAUACUUCAUAUGGAUGCUCUGAACAUUGUAUAGUUACUGGAGUAAUACUUCAUAUGGAUGCUCUGAACUUUGUAUAGUUACUGGAGUAAUACUUUAAAUGGAUGCUCUGAACGUUGUAUAGUUACUGGAGUAAUACUUCAAAUUUAUAUUCAACACAAUAGUCAAUCCUCAGAACUACACAUGUAGAGAAAUUUAUUUUCUUUAUAUAUUUUUCAUAAUGGUAUGAACUUUGAUAAAGUGACCAUGAAAGGUUGCUUAAGAGGGAAAGAAUAGCAUAAGAAUAUAUUUUAUAGUUUAGACAUGAGAUGCUGACUUUUAACCAAUAAAUUUAUGUUCUAUGAAAAAAGUGUAAGGGGGAGGGAUGUCUCUUUGACCCCACAGUUCCUGAAACGCUACAAAAAUAAAUAUACUGAAAUUCUUCA